AUUAGUUAUUUUAUGGUCUUUAUUAUGAUUUUUUUUUUGGUUUUUCCUAUUGUUCAUUUCUUAGUUUCUCUUGCUUGUAGCCCCGACUUUAAAUAAUGAAAGAUUACAUUUUCAUUUCUGGAGAAGAAAAAUGAAUUGCAUUGCAGGGCUCUAACACCCUCUACAUGAGUCGUUAACCCCUCGAAGUCCCUCUUAUUCUUCACUUUCCAUGUAAAUAGGGAUGAAAAAUAGAAUGGCUAGAAAUUUUUUGUCCCAUUGCUAUGCUGCUGUAGAAAGUCUUGGCCUUUGGCUCAUUCUCGACAGACUUGGCUAUGCAUAUAAUCUUAAUAGUAGACACAUCAUUGUGCUUGCUAUUCUUGAUAUUUUGAAAGUCAUUUGUACUUGCUUUUGUUUGGUAUAUCCUCAUGUCUUAUAAUGUAUUUUACUUCAUUGAUGUAUGUGCAGGAAGCUGCUAGAAACAGUAAUGGAAAAGCUGCACAUUCGGAAUGGAGGAAUUACGAUGAUUUCUACGAAUCUUUAUGGUUUGUUCAAAGAGGAAUCUUAAUAACUUUCAGGUCCAUUAUAUUUGUAUAAGCUAUUAAUUGUGCUGAUUUGCGUCCUAUACGUAGGUCACCUGCUUGCUUUGAGCUGAGCUGGCCAAUGAGGAAAGAUUCACCAUUUAUGUUGAAGCCCAAAAAAUGAAAAAUGGCUGUUUAGACAUCUUUUUUAUGUUUGGAGCUUACUCAACUGCGAGGGUCAUGGCUAUCACAAGGCUGAUCACAAGCUCUGUCAGCCUAACAUUUCUUUGUGUCAACACACGCUUGUAAAUGGUUGACUGCUGACUGCUUAUUCUUAUUCAUCAGUUGGAUAUUGCAGGAGCAAUACUGGAGUGUCUACACCGAGAAUCAGCCCAUCAGAAUUCAUAUGAACGGCCCCUUUAUUAAUGUCUUCAAAACAAACUUGAUGGAUGCUGGCUUGAUACUUUGAAAAAUGAAUGGACAACCUGUAGAACAGGUAUGGAUUUUAAUUUUGUUGAAGCUGAUGAAUGUAUUGAAGAUGAUAGCAGUAUAGCACUUUAGCAGCUGCUUUAUAUACCCCAUCACACAGAGAAAAAUGAAACCACAGUAAAUUUUCAUUGGAUACUCCAGGUGGGACAUUUUCAUAUGCAGCUUGGUUCAUAUAUCUUUUAUCUUGAGUACAGCUCUUGAGAAGCCAUCCUUAUUCAAAGUCUGAUAUCAUUGAAAUGGGAAGGGUUUGCUUGUGGUUGCUAUAAUUAGGGCUUUUAUGGUCGUUGGUAAAGGUGUUCUUACACCUGAAUUUGGUUUUGGAGAUCCUUUACAAAUGUUGGUUUUGGCCGAAAAUGUUUUAUCGUUUUCUAUUUGAAAUGGAAAUUGCUCAUGUCUUCUUACGGCUUUUAUGGUUGAGUUUAUAGUUGGCUUCAUGCUCCUUGAGUUCUUUGAUUGUGCAUGUUCGAGUUAAUAGUUUACUUGAUGGAUUACUCGGUUUCUACUUUGUGGCAUUUAGCUCAAGUUCAUUGGUUAUUUUAUGUGGCACCUUAUCGCUUUUUUGGUUAAGUUCGUAAUUGACUUCAUGCGUCCUCGAGUUUUUUGUUUGUGGGUUUUUGCUCGAGUUAUAGUUACUUGAUGGAUACUCGGGUUUCUACCUUGCAGCAUGUAGCUCAAGUUCCUAAGUUAUUUGAAGUUCUCGCGUGUUUCCACCAAUUGGCCUUUACAAAUGGUUGUUUUGGCCGAGUUUUUUUAUUGUUUUCUAUUUGAAAUGGAAAUUGCUCCUAGCACCUUACGAUUUUUACGAUUGAGUUCAUAAUUGACUUCAUGCAUUCUUUAAGUCCUUUGCUUGUGGGUGCUUGAGUUACUAGUUUACUUGAUGGAUUAUUCAGGUUUCAAAUUUCCUCAAUUAUUUAUGUGGCACCUUUCUGCUUUACAACUGAGUUCGUAAUUGACUUCAUGCGUCCUUGAGUUUUUUGCUUGCGGGUGUUUGCUCGAGUUACUAGUUUACUUGAUGGAUACUCGGGUUUCUACCUUGUAGCAUUUAGCUCAAGUUCCUAAGUUAUUUGAAGUUCUCUCGUGUUUCCACCUAUUGGCCUUUACAAAUGUUGAUUUUGGCUAAAAUUUUUAUCGUUUUCUAUUUAAAAUGGAAAUUGCUCCUGAUACCUUAUGGUUUUUACGGUUGAGUUCAUAAUUGACUUCAUGUGUCCUUGAGUUCUUUGCUUGCAGGUGCUCGAGUUACUAGUUUACUUGAUGGAUUACUCGAGUUUCUACCUUGCAACAUUUGGCUCAAGUUCCUCAAUUAUAAUUGACUUCAUGUGUCACUUGAGUUUUUUGCUUGUGGGUUUUUACUCGAGUUAUAGUUUACUUGAUGGAUACUCGAGUUUUUACCUUGCAGCAUUUAGCUCAAGUUCUUAAGUUAUUUGAAGUUCGCUCGUGUUUCCACCUAUUGGUCUUUACAAAUGUUGGUUUUGACUGAAUUUUUUAUCAUCUUUUUCUAUUUGAAAUGGAAAUUGCUCCUAGCACCUUAUGGCUUUUACAGUUUAGUUCGUAAUUGACUUCUACAUCCUUGAGUUCUUUGCUUGUGGGUGCUCGAGUUACUAGUUUACUUGAUAGAUUAUUCGAGUUUCUACCUUGCAGCAUUUAGCUGAAGUUCCUCAAUUAUUUAUGUGGCACCUUACGGCUUUCACAAUUGAGUUCGUAGUUGACUUCAUCCGCCUUUAAGUUGUUUGCUUGCGGGUUUUUGCUUGGGUUAUUGUUUACUUGAUGGAUACUGGGUUUCUACCUUGCAGCAUUCAGCUCAAGUUCAUAAGUUAUUUGAAGUUCUCUCGUAUUUUCACCAUUACGAAUGUUGGUUUUGGCCGAAAUUUUUGAUCCUUGUUUUCUAUUUGAAAUGGAAAUGUCUCCUGGCACCUUAUGACUUUUACGAUUGAGUUCAUAAUUGAUUUCAUGUGUCCUUGAGUUCUUUGCUUGCGUUUUCUCGAGUUAAGUUUACUGCUGGAUUAAUCGGGUUUCUUGGGUCAUUGAGUUUUUUGCUUACAGGUUGUUACUCGAGUUAUAGGUUUACUUGAUGGAUACUCGGGUUUCGACCUUACAAUAUUUAGCUCAAACUCCUAAGUUGUUUUAAGUUCUCUCGUGUUUCUACCCAUUGACCUUUACAAAUGUUGGUUUUGGCGUUGAUCGUUUUCUAUUUGAAAUGAAAAUUGCUCCCAUCACCUUACAGCUUUUAUGGUUGAGUUUGGGCUUCAUGCUCCUUAAGUUCUUUGAUUGUGGGUGUUCGAGUUACUAGUUUACUUGAUGGAUUGCUUGGGUUUUUACCUUGAAGUAUUUAGCUCAAAUUUCUCAGUUGUUUAUGUGGCACCUUAUGGCUUUUACAACAUAGUUCGUAAUUGAUUUCAUGGGUCACUUGAGUUUUUUGCUCGUCGGUUUUUACUCGAGUUAUAGUUUACUUGAUGGAUACUCGGGUUUCUAUCUUGCAGCAUUUAGCUCAAGUUCCUCAAUUAUUUAUGUGGCACCUUACGGCUUUUACAACUGAGUUCUUAAUUGAUUACAUGCGUCUUUGAGUGCUUUUUGUGGGUUUUUGCUCAGAUUAUGGUUUACUUGAUGCAAUAUGUCGUACUCUUUCCGUCCACAAAUGACUAUCUUGAAUUAGUUCCUCUAUCUUUCUUGCCCUGUAGCAGCAAGAAGUACACAUGAAUUGAUUUCUGGUAGCUUCAUAUACCUUCCCUUCAUAAUUGACUUCAUGCAUCUCUGAGUUUUUUGGUUGCGGGUUUUUUGCUUGAGUUAUAGUUUACUUGAUGGAUACUCGGGUUUCUACUUUGUAGCAUUUAGCUCAAGUUCCUAAGUUGUUUGAAGUUAUCUUGUGUUUCCACCUAUUGACCUUUACAAAUGUUGGUUUUGGCUGAAUUUUUUUAUCAUUUUCUAUCUGAAAUGGAAAUUUCUCCUGGCACCAUACAGCUUUUACAAUUGGGUUCAUAAUUGACUUCAUGCGUUCUUGAGUUCUUUAUUUUCAAGUGCUCAAGUUACUAGUUUAGUUGAUGGAUUACUCGGGUUUCUACCGUGUAGCAUUUAGCUCAAGUUCCUAAGUUAUUUGAAGUUUUCUCGUGUUUCCGCCUAUUGGCCUUUACAAAUGUUGGGUAUGGCUAAAAAUUUUUAUCAUUUUUUUAUAUUUGAAAUGGAAAUUGCUCCUGGCACCUCACGGCUUUUGCGGUUGAGUUUAUAAUUGACUUCAUGUGUCAUUAAGUUCUUUGCUUGUGGGUGCUCGAGUUACUAGUUUACUUGAUGGAUUAUUCAGGUUCUACCUUUCAACAUUUAACUCAAGUUUCCUAAUUAUUCACGUGGCAUCAUAUGGCUUUUACGAUUUAGUUUGUUAUGUACUUCAUGCUUCCUUGAUUUUUUUGCUUUUGGGUUAUUGCUUCAAGUUACUAGUUUAAUUGAUAGAUACUCGAUUUCUACCUUUAAGUAUUUAGCUCAAGUUCAUAAGUUAUUUGAAGUUCUCUCAUAUUUUUGCCUAUUGUCCUUUAUGAAUGUUUAUUUUGGCUGAAUUUUUUUUGUCAUUGUUUUCUAUUUUAAAUGAAAAUUGCUCCUGGCAUAAUAUGGUUUUUACGAUUCAGUUCAUAAUUGACGUCAUGCGUUCUUGAGUUCUUUGUUUCCAGGUGCUUGAGUUACUAGUUUACUUAUGGAUUACUCGAUUUCUAUCUUGCAUCAUUCAGCUCAAACUCCUCAAUUAUUUAUGUGCAACCUUACGACUUUUACGAUUUAGUUCGUAAUUGACUUCAUUCAUCCUUGAAUUUUUUGCUCAUGUUUCUAGUUUACUUGAUGGAUUCGCAGGUUUCUACGUUGCAGCAUUUAGCUGAAGUCCCUAAGUUAUUUAAAGUUAUCUUGUGUUUCUUGCUAUUGGCCUUUUCAAAUGUUUUUUUGGCUGAAAAUUUUCAUCAUUGUUUUCUAUUUGAAAUGGAAAUUGCUUCCAACACUUUACUGUCUUUACAGUUUUUGCGGUUGAGUUCUGUGGAACUUAACUAACCAAGUAAUUUGAUCCUGGCAUAACCAUAUAAAUAGCUGCAAAGUCACUUAAGUUUUAUUUUAUUUUUUUCAGUUUUCUAAAAAACCUUCUUUUCCAUCAAUUGUUGUGUUGUAAAGUUGUUCUCAUUCGAAGAGAUGCCCAGUCAGCGCCCUUCUAGGGCGAAUAUAGAACAAGAAGAGAAAAAAAUGAAAGUGAAGAAUAUUGGAAUGGUGAAGACAAAAGCUUGGUAGAGCUUGAGCUCAGUUGAAGCUACCGGUGAAAGAAAAAAAAGAAUGGUCAAGCACGUAUCAUUGUGUACUUAUCUAAAAAAAAAAGCAUGUAUCAUUAUGCUAUAUAUCAUUUUUACCACUUUAAUUAGUGAUUCGGAUAUGUUAUUAAAUCAAUAUUUUUUGUUGCAAAAUGUAUAUAUAUAUUUUUUAUUUUUUUG